CGGGCGAUGUUAGUGGGCUUGGGCGUUGGGUGAAGUAUCCAGGUUGGGCGCUUCCAGCGCUUUCUGUGGCGGGGGAAUGAAGGCCUAGGUCAGGGAAUAGGAAGGUGUAUCGCCGCCAGAGUGCGGAACACCCUCGCCUUGAGGGUUCCCACAGUGACUUGCAAAAGUCUAGUGAGACCCGAGAAUGCUGAGGCGGGACACGAAGCAUGUGGUUCUUGUGGUUGCGACGCUCGUGCCGCCAUCUUGGGUGCUGGCGGCGGAAACCGGUACCCCAACUUCCCCUCGGUGCGAACCUGGAGAAGCCACCCCAGCUGUGAGGGACGGUUGCGCCUCAUGGCCCAGGCAAGGGUACCUUCGCUGGAGCAGUACCGCGGACGGAUAUCAUGAGGGUGGUGGGACGUUGGCGGAACGUUGGCGGAACGUUGGCGGUGUGAGAGGUGUGGGGUAAUGGCGAUUUUUGUCAUGGUAGAAACAGCCCAAAGGACCCCCCUCGUUUGGCCUCCCACGCAGCUUAGUCUUGCUUUUUUAGGGAUGUUUCUCAUUUUUUAAUUUCUCCAGUCCCAUCUGGUUAUAUUGCCAAAACAUGUUUGUGACUCUCAAACGUUAGUUUACUCCCAGCAUCACUUGGGGAGCUUGCUAAGCUACGAAUUCCGAGGUCCCACUGGAGAGUCUGAUUUAAUGACCCUGGAGUGGCGGCCGGAUAACCUGCCUGCUGGGGUGAUUUUAACGCAGCUGAUGCGAAGACCCCAUUUAGGGAAUCAUUGGGUUGGCGUUUGCAAUGCGUUCCUCCCAGCUAUAGGACAAAGAGGUGUCAACUCAACUGUGUCUUCUUAGAAGAGCCCAUUAUUUAUAGGUGAGUCAUUAGUCCCUGUACAACUAAGGACAAGGCCAACUGAUAACUCAGUAAAUAAUCGAGUCCAUUUUGUGCUUGCGAGUUAGGGGCUUAAUUUGGGGUGGUUUGCAGAUUAAGUACUUUCACUGCAUAUAAUAAACGUACACCAGCAAACCACUCAUGGAAUUCUUAAAAAAACUUCUGAGCUAGUUUACCAGUUUCAAAGACUAAUUCAGAGAGCAUGUUUUACCUAUUCUAGGCUGGACUGGAACUCCUGGACUCAAGCGAUCUUUCCAUUUAUCAGGGACUACUGACGCGUGUCUCCCAAUAAAUACCUGAGUAUAAACAACAUGAGGACUAGAAUUUUGUGCGUUAACUGUUAUAACUUAGUAGACACUCAAAUACUGAGUACUUGAAGGGGGACUCAAGCAGGCAGGCCUCUGAUUUUCCUGUUAAAAGCAGAAAUUAACCACACCUUGGAGGAUGUACAGUUUUGAAGGAUAUGGCAUGUUAACAAUAAAAUAGGAGACCAUUCAGUCCCCGAAGUAGUGAGACAAUGAAGAUAA
rnacentral:lncRNA from 1 species